rnacentral:rRNA from 1 species
UACGUAGGGAACAAGCGUUGUUCGGAUUUACUGGGCGUAAAGGGCGCGUAGGCGGCAAUUCAAGUCAGUUGUGAAAUCUCCGAGCUUAACUCGGAACGGUCAACUGAUACUGUUUUGCUAGAGUACAGAAGGGGCAAUCGGAAUUCUUGGUGUAGCGGUGAAAUGCGUAGAUAUCAAGAGGAACACCUGAGGUGAAGACGGGUUGCUGGGCUGAUACUGACGCUGAGGCGCGAAAGCUAGGGUAGCAAACGGG